rnacentral:lncRNA from 1 species
CGCGGAUCUGCUUACUUUCUGACGUAGUUUCUGGAGCGAGGCAGUCGCUGUGCGGAGGAUUUUCAGGACGUUUGUACCGACUGAAGUUUCCUCUUUUGAGAGCUGGCCUGCUUUGAGGGGAAUCCUUUCCUACCAGAAAAAUAUCAGCAGCACAGAAGAGACAUACUGUGGUAACGUGUGUGACAAUGGAGGAGCUGGGGACAGCCAGAUCCACUGAGCAGGGAGAAGAUAGUAACAAAUAAGCAGAGAGCAAGAAUGAAGAUAAUACACAGGGCCAGAGGACCCAGAGAAGUUAGAGAAGCUGUAUCCAUUUAGACAGUGGUCAAGGGAGGGCCUUCUCUGGCUGCAAAGAGCUGCAGGUGUGGAGAGAGGUCAGGAAGAGCCAGCGCUGAGGCCAGAGCGGUGUGUACGGGCGUUUGGAGGAACAGGAGGGAGGGGUGCAUGUGAGGGCUGCAG